UUGACCGCGGCUACGUUCGGCGACUGGUUGUCGCCUCGAGCCCAAGAUCACUAUCAUAACUCUCGAACAAUUACAGUCGGAUUGAAUGACGGCAAUUGCUUAAUUACGGCUAUGGUAGAAUAUAAAUUACAGUAUUAGGGGGUUUUCCCAAAGUUUCAAAGGGAAGGCUCCGGUGUUCCUUCAUCUCCGACAUAUAUAUAUAUAUAUAUAUAUAUAUAUAUAUAUAGUGUAUUAAAUUUAUUCGAAAGUACUAGAAUAGUUUAUUGGACAAAGUGAUCGAUCCGAACUGUGCGUAGUUUAUGACGGUGACUCGGCCGUCUAACGAGCGCAUGUUCCACUGUUGCAGAGUUUUUCGUUGGUCGGAGCUGUGUAAGAUAUUUUGUGUAAUUGGAAAUUUAACGCAAAGUUGUAUGUUAUUGGUUUGUUUUUCUUUGUAUAAAUUGAAUUGCGAGCAUGAAUGGACGAUGCAUCUGGAGAAAUGGACUGUGACGAAUAACAACGAGCAGCAAGAGGAUUAACAAGAGGAAGAAGGAAAAGAACGUUUAAUCGUUGAUAAUGAGAAAAUGUAUUAUCUGGUUGGUUGCGUGCGAGCGUGAGAGAAAACGUGUGAAACGAGGGAAGGGCUGGGAGAAGUAUCUUGUAAAUGUGUAAAUAACAAGUGUAAAUAAAAUAAUUUGGAAAUGUGAAACGUUUUGCGUAAAACAAGUAAUGAUAAGAGCGUAAAAAUAUGGGGUGAAAAGACGAGGUGUGUAAUAAAGAUGCGUAAAUAAAAUAAACGCGUUGCUCACUUGGGUGCGUGGAAGGGUGGAGCAGGAAAGGUAAUAGCGAUGUUAAUUAAGCAUGGGAAUUUGUCAAAACAUGGGUUAGUUUUGUUAGAAAAUUGUAAAAUAUGUAAAAAGAUUGUAGACGUUAGAUGCGUGAAAGUUGAAAGAAGUAAGAAAAGAAGGAAAAGAGAGUAUAAAAUGAUAAUAGGUAAUACGUAAGGCAAUAUAAUUUUCUGGAUGGUAAAAGAAUGGAUUUGUUUGGAUUCUAGGAGACUAAAGAAUAAAUAAAGAUCCAUUUAGGAGAUACGUGCGCGUUGUUUAUUCGACCAUUGACCAUAAAUUGUGAAAGUAGGCUUUAAAAAGAUAAAUGACAGAUAUAAUA
rnacentral:misc_RNA from 1 species